GAUGAAGAACGUAGUGAAAUGCGAUAAGUAGUGUGAAUUGCAGAAUUCAGUGAAUCAUCGAAUCUUUGAACGCACAUUGCGCCCUUUGGUAUUCCUUAGGGCAUGCCUGUUCGAGCGUCAUUUACAAAUUCAAGCUCAGCUUGGUGAUGGGUGUCUGUCCCGCCUUUGCGUGUGGACUCGCCUCAAAUGCAGUUGGCAGCUUGUUCCUCGGCUCUAAACGCAGCAGAUUUGCGUCGAGCGUCGUGCGGACGGGCUCUCCAGUAAGCAAACCCCCACAAAUUGACCUCGGAUCAGGUAGGGAUACCCGCUGAACUUAAGCAUAUCAAUAAGCGGAGGA
rnacentral:misc_RNA from 1 species